UACCGUGAGGGUAAAGCCAACGUCGUUGCUGAUGCGUUAAGUCGUAAGUCUAGCCAUAGCCUGAAUACAUUAGUCGUUGCCACAACAAGAAUCCGCCUUUUUAACAUCUGAAUUUAGCGUCCGGCGAUACAAGCGGACGGUAAAUUUAAAAUUAGCGUCCGAUUAAAGACGAAUGCAAAUUAGCGUCCGCUUCAUGAGAUUUAUCGUCCGUUCUUUUAAACUGACGCUAAUUAGCGUCCGUUUAGUUAAAAUACCGUCUGUCUGACGGAUGCUAAAUAAGAGGUAUAAAUAAAUAAAAAAAACACUUCCAAUCGACCAAAUUAUCAACCCUAACCCACGCCUCUCUCUUCCUCACUCUCAUCUCACGUUUCUCUCUCUUCCUCACUCUCAUCUCACAUUUUGGUGCUCUCUCUUUCUUGCAGAUCUCACGAAAUCAAGUAUUUCUACUCAAAUUUAACUAAUAAAUUUGUUUUUUUAGUUUUGAUUGUUGAUUAUGUAGUUUAUUUUCUCGAUUUUCUUUGUUUUUUAAUUUCGUUUUGCGUUUUCUUGUUCUUGGUUUUUCGGUUUUUGCUAGAUCUGAAUUCCCUAAGAUUUUUUAAUUUUUUUGUUUUUCGAUUGUUCUUUAUUUUUUUUAGUUUUCGGUUUUAUGAGAUUUUGAUUUUGUGUGUUUAUAUUUUCGAUUUGGUUAUUCAAUUUUUCAAUUUCGCGAUUUUUGGUUUUUUGUCUUUGGUUUUUCGGUUUUCAUCUUUUGAUUUUUCUGAGAUUUUAGGUUGCUUCUUGUUUUAUGAAUGUUGUUUCCAGAUCUGGUUUUUGGGCAUGAUUUUUCGUUUUUUGUGGGCAUGAAUUUUCGUCUUUUGUGGAAGUCAGUUUUUCGUUUUUUUUUCGUUCUUCUCUGAUUGAUAUUCGGAUCAAACAUAAAGUUUUGAUUAAUUACCCACAAAACAUUCAUCUUUUAUACCUCAUUCUCAAUUCUCAAUUCUCAUUUCACAUCUUUCCACAGAUCAAACUAUGCGAUGACUUUACUGAUAUGGAGAUUAGCGAGCAACCCUUUGCUUCUUUAAUUUCCAAACAAUAAUGGAAAAUUUUUCACUGAUAUAUUAGCUAAUUGUUUCCGCCGCCAAUGUCCUCGAGGUUUACGUUGUUCGCCUUCAGGAAACCAAUGUUGCUUCUGAUGCUAAGCGUGGCAGUCUUAUGGCUGGUGUUUCCGGUGCCUUUUUGGAGCUGUUUGCCACUAUAGGUUUGCACAUCUACUUCUUUUUUGAGUUUCGUAGUUUUCGUGUUUUAGCUUGGUUUAGUUUAUUAUGCUUUUGAUGGAAAAUGUAGUUGGUUUUAAUAUUUUGAGCUGUAAUUAUAGCUCAAUUUAGUAAAUGUGGGCGACAACGAGAACAAUUAACCAAUUAGAUUAGGGGGAAUAUGUAUUUAUCUGUUUGGACUGGGAAUUUUGUGUAGACAACAUGAAGAAUGUAUUUCUUUGUUUUGUUUCAGCUUGUGUACAUAUGUUUAAACCAAUUAGAUCUCUUGGCUAAUUGGAUGAGAAAUUUUAAUUAGAUUUACCAUUAUUGUAAUAUUUAGCCUUCUAUUUUAUGUGGUUGUGAACUGUGAAGUUCUGAAGCAUUUUUUGACCACUAGGAUUUACCAGGUUGCAUGCUAACAUUGAAUCGAUGGUCGUACUCUUAAUUGGUGGCUCUGACAGUUCUAGAAGAAGAGAUUCUAUCAUAUUAGCAUUUCGAGAUGCAAAAGUUUCUGUCUUAGAGUAUGAUGACUCGACUCAUAGUCUUCCACUAUAAGUCUAUAACAGACUACUUGAACAUUUCUACAUAUAGCUUCCACCCACUAUUCUGUGUGUACUCUUUAUGGAUCAUUUUGGAAGACGACCACUUUUGCUGGUGAGACAAUUUUUAAAUUAAAAUCCACUUCCUUAUAAGCUUUGAAUUAAACAAAAAAAAAGGAAUUCACCAUGUCUAACUGUGUUGAUUCUGUAGUGUUCCGCAGUUGGAAUGUGCAUGGCUUGCUUUUCAGUGGCAUUAUCAUUCUUGAUGAAGGAACAUGGAUGGAUGAAAGACUACAGUCCGUAUUUGGCUCUUAUUAGCAUCUUGAUAUCUGCUGGAACAUUUCCAGUUGGACUAGGAGGGAUACCGCCUCUAAUAAUGUUAGAGGUAAGUGUAUCACUUGAGAAAUACUGCUCCAUCUAGUUGCACGGAAAUGGAAAUGGAAAUGGAAAUGGAAAUGGCAAUGCAGGUAAACAAACCCAAAAUUUGGAAGACGUGCAAGCUUUGCUUGAAAAAUUUUCCAUUAUUGUUUGGAGACGUGCAACCAACAGAAGAAAUGAUUCACAGGGAGAAAGAAGAGAAGAAUUUCAGCAAAGGAAGCUUAGUUGAAGUAAGUGAGCAGUGACGAGGAUGGUUUUGAGGGUGCUUGGUUCACUGCAACUGUUCUUGAGGUGAUUGGGAAGGACAAAUUCCUUAAAAACAGUAGAUGACAAAGAGUUUGUAAGAGAAGAUGACAAAGAGUUUAAAUUAGUGUACAUGUAAUUAUAUGAGAUUUGUAUUAGAUUUUGUUCUAAGUAUACUAGAACUUAGUUCUAUAAUUAUUUUUUCAUUUGUAUCUACAUUUAUUAUCAAUAAUAAUUGAAUUGAUUAAUUUGUUUGCGUUAAUAAAAGAAGUAUGGUAUUUGCAUCAUUUCAUAUCUUAUUACAUUUAAUAUCAAUUAAUUAAAAGAAAAAAGCUUCCUGUGGAAACGGUGGCUAAUUAAAAAAAAAAAAAAGCUUCCCG